CUAGAUGUACGGUAGGGGCCAACCGACUUGCCUUGGAAGAAAGACAUCGUGAGUUCGAAUCUCGCCAUCUAGACCA
rnacentral:tRNA from 1 species